GAAAAACAAGCAAGGGUUAAGGCUUACGUUGCUAGAUCAGAGAGGGAAGACGACGUUGAGAGAGGGAGAAGGAAGGAGACGCUGAGAGAGGGAGAAGGAGACGUUGGGUCAAAGCAGGGUUUUCAUCUAGCCAACAUUUGCAGUUACUCUUUUCUUUCAUGAACCUUUUAAGCCUGAGAUCAUGUAUGGAGGCGAUGAAGUAUCAGCAAUUGUCCUUGACUUGGGUUCACAUACGUGCAAGGCUGGUUAUGCCGGUGAAGAUGCUUCCAAGGCAGUGUUUCCAUCUGU